AACAGGAUUAGAUACCCUGGUAGUCCACGCCGUAAACGAUGUCAACUUGGAGGUUGUGCCCUUGAGGCGUGGCUUCCGGAGCUAACGCGUUAAGUCGACCGCCUGGGGAGUACGGCCGCAAGGUUAAAACUCAAAUGAAUUGACGGGGGCCCGCACAAGCGGUGGAGCAUGUGGUUUAAUUCGAUGCAACGCGAAGAACCUUACCUACUCUUGACAUCCAGAGAACUUAGCAGAGAUGCUUUGGUGCCUUCGGGAACUCUGAGACAGGUGCUGCAUGGCUGUCGUCAGCUCGUGUUGUGAAAUGUUGGGUUAAGUCCCGCAACGAGCGCAACCCUUAUCCUUUGUUGCCAGCGGUUAGGCCGGGAACUCAAAGGAGACUGCCAGUGAUAAACUGGAGGAAGGUGGGGAUGACGUCAAGUCAUCAUGGCCCUUACGAGUAGGGCUACACACGUGCUACAAUGGCGCAUACAAAGAGAAGCGACCUCGCGAGAGCAAGCGGACCUCAUAAAGUGCGUC
rnacentral:rRNA from 1 species